UACGUAGGGGGCUAGCGUUGUCCGGAAUCAUUGGGCGUAAAGAGCGCGUAGGCGGCCAGAUAAGUCCGGUGUGAAAGUCAAAGGCUCAACCUUUGAAUGCCGCUGGAAACUGUCUGGCUAGAGUCCGGGAGGGGCGAGUGGAAUUCCUGGUGUAGCGGUGAAAUGCGCAGAUAUCAGGAGGAACACCGAUGGCGAAGGCAGGUCUCUGGGCAUUAACUGACGCUGAGGAGCGAAAGCAUGGGGAGCGAACAGG
rnacentral:rRNA from 1 species